CUCCGCCCAGAAAACUUUUCAGCUCCUCGGAGAACACUGUUGCUGCUGGAUUCCAUGAUAUGGGACAAAUAGGAGGAUGUGGUGGCCCAGUUCUGAAGCUGCUCUGGAUUUGUCUAGCCAAAGUUGGUCAAUGCAAUUCUAGGCUGCAUUAAUAGAGGGAUAGAAUUAAGAUCACCUCACUUUAUAAUCUCUUGAUUUGGAAUUCCUAAUGCACAGUACCAUUAUGGGGAACUAACCAUCCAGUAUAUCUUAUCCUAUACAAGUAAAUAAAAUACAAUGGAACUGAAAUAAGUACUUGAUUCUUGAGCUGAAUCUUUCCACUGGGGAAAAUGUCAUCCUCAGUACCCAUUUUAUAUUAGCAUUAAUGGACUGCUGCAUAAGCUGAAACUCUACAUUUGUUCUUUUCUUUUUCCAGUGAUGGAUAGAUUGAAAAUGCUUAGUUUUGAAUGAUGUUUUUCCUAAAUAGCUCUUUAGAAUGUGUGUUCCUCCAUCCAAUUCCCCUGAUAUUUGCUGUUAAAAGUGUAAUCAACAAGAAUUGUGGUUUCCAGUAUAAUUAAGAUUCAUUAGUAAAGAUCUGGCGUAGUUCCCUGCAGCUUGAUUCAGAGGGAGGCUAUUGGCCCUGAAAUGAUACAGAGAUCACUUUGGAAGAUAAAUCAAGACAUCUGCCUGAAUUUGAAACUUUAUUAUUGUAUCUGCAUGCUGUCUAAUUAACUAACUAACACUAAUGGAGUGUGAAAGGUGUAUGAAAACAUUGCAGGUGUACACAUGAGAUCCAUUUUACAGCACUUAGUGAUAGAUGGGUGGGAGAUUAAAUAAUCCUCAUUGCUUCACAGAUUGUCUAACUUUUUCUGUGGUUGAACUCACUUUCUCUGGUAAAUUAUUUAGAAGAUAAUCAAAAUAUAUAGAACAUACGUUACAUGUGCAGGCUAAACUAGUGACCAAUUCAUUCCUGUUAGAAAAUAAUGAUCAAAUAAUACAUAAUUAAAGCUCCUGAACACUCAUUUGAUCAGUCAUGUUUAUUCUUAGUAAUGAAAGAUGACCUUAUUUUGCAUGGGGAUUUUUAAGACAAUUGACUCAGUUGGUCCUGCUGUUGAUUAACUUCUUAGCAGAAUGUUUUCCCCUUUGAAUUUAGUAGGUAAACAUUACACAAAAGAGAAAACCAAGUCUUCGUAUGUUAGAACACUAAAUGGUAAGGUGGGCAAAUAAAGCAAGCUGAUCAUUUCAACUAAAUUGAUUUAGCCUGAGUAAUUUAGUACAUAAAUAAUAAGCUAAGUUAUCCUGAAAUUCAGAAUUGAAGAUUGAAGAGUUUAUCUCGGCCCAAGGUUUGUUUUGUUUUAUUUUUGUAAGGAGGUGCUGUCUCUGUCAUCUACAUUUAUCCUAACUCCUGUAUUGUAAAAAUUCUUUCAAAAUUUUUGUACAGAAUUAUUUACAACUGCUAUAAUUUCUACAUAUCUCUAUAUUGGUACUCUAUGAAGUGCUAUCAUCACUGACAGCGUCAUGGUCAGUGUUUGUGUCUUUCUGUGUGCACACUUGGAAGAAACUUUUAAAAGCUAUUGGAAACAAUUAUGAAAGAAAAAUUUAAAAAUUGAGACACUGAUAGACUAGCAGUGUUGGA